UGUGAACCUGUAUCGAGAGCGCGUUCUGCGCAGUUUAGACAGUAAAAAACUGUUACCGUUCAAUAUAAGACAUGUUCGGGUCAUUAUUAGAAGCUCCACUUCACAACACUGCCUCACUGUCGGACAAAUCGGGGGCAUGGCAACUGGCUCCUUCCCCCAGUGUGCUUCCCAGCUGGUCCGAUUGUCUGCCUCGACUUGAUUUGCGCCAUACCAUCAUCACCUGCACUCCUCCGGCUGCACAUUAAGACCGAUUCGUCCAGCUCGCAGAACGGUCCGUCAGUCUGAAUCUGUGAGUAUCUUGCCAACUUUACAGAACAAUGGAGGAGCCUGCGCAUGUCUUAUGUCAUUAUUUCCAUUUUCAAAAAAUCGAUCGAAAUGGGCUUCUAUAGUUCUGUGAAUGCAUAACUCCAGCCAAUCCAGAGACGGGGUUUGUAACCAAUUAGACGUAGAGAUGUUGUAGCAUGGUGACUGGCCCCGCCCCCUUACUGUCAAAAAGAACAACAGCGAGCGCGUAGAAAACAUCUUUGAGCCCAAACAGAGAUUAGUCUCGCGAGCAAGAAAGUUCACGUUGACAGUGAUUUGCCACCAUACUCUCUUUACCUUGCCUUAUUAUACAGCAAUACAUCACCAGUAACCUCAAUUACAAAUGCCGUAACUUACAAAAACCUUUAUGUACACAUUUAGUUAAUUUGAAGCUGGAUUCAAAUGUGGUUAAAGGGUCAGUCUGCCUAAAUGACAGACAACUUUGUUCUUAUGUGCCUUCACAUGAUCAGGGAUCCAUUUAAGAGAUUUUUGC
ensembl:lncRNA